rnacentral:lncRNA from 1 species
CAGCUGAGGCCUUCUCGUGUUCAUGGGCAAUACAAAUGGGCUUAGAAAUGGGGUUAACGGAAGCAACAAGUUAUACACGAUAGAUCUAAUAUAAGCGCCUAUAUUCGAAACAGCUAACAGAAGAUGAACAGUUUUACUUUUAUUCGGCUUAAACAUGCAAGUUAUUUUGAAAAUCAGUUAGCCUAUUUUUUAGCAAAGGAGAGUCUGAGAUCUGGUGAAGGCUUUUACCUGGAAGAUGUUGUCCCGAGUUAUGCGAUGAGGACGAUGAAAGCUGAACGGGUGUGAGAGCCGGAUUGAGGAGGAUCGGAAGCAAGUUUUCCAGCCCCGGUGAAAGGAAAGAAAGGAUGAGAACUCUUUUCUUGUGUUUUUUUGGAUAUCUGCAAAAUCGGGUUUGGAAAAGGAAACUUCUUGGAAAUGAAACCGUCCGAUUUUGAAAUGAUGAGGGGAUAAGGCCGGUUUUACUUUUCCUAUUUGGCUGGGCUAGGUAGUUUAUUUUUUAAUUGCUUGUUUUGGUUCUAUGUUUCAUUUCUGGUUUUGGGCUCGGUGGGGUCGUGCCAGAUCAUUUCCAUUGUGUUAUCAUUUUUCUUCUUUUAAUAACAAAUCCUGG